rfam:Myotis davidii contig99193, whole genome shotgun sequence.
UCCUCGUUAGUAUAGUGGUGAGUAUCCCCGCCUGUCACGCGGGAGGCCGGGGUUCGAUUCUCCGACGGGGAG